GGUCGAGUGGCCGAGUGUAAGGCAAAGGCCCGCAAUGCCUUUUACGGUGGUUCGAAUCCAUCCUCGACCU
rnacentral:tRNA from 2 species